GCGAAUAUGGUGAAGUGGUUAACACAGCGGAUUGUGGCUCCGUCAUGCGUGGGUUCGAAUCCCACUAUUCGCCCCA
rnacentral:tRNA from 4 species